UACGUAGGUGGCAAGCGUUGUCCGGAGUUAUUGGGCGUAAAGCGCGCGCAGGCGGUGCGGUAAGUCUCUGGUGAAAGCGCUCGGCUUAACUGGGCGAGGGCCGGGGAGACUGCCACGCUGGAGGGGAGCAGAGGCGAGUGGAAUUCCGGGUGUAGUGGUGAAAUGCGUAGAUAUUCGCAAGAACACCAGUGGCGAAGGCGGCUCACUGGCCCGGUACUGACGCUGAGGUGCGAAAGCGUGGGGAGCAAACAGG
rnacentral:rRNA from 1 species